rnacentral:lncRNA from 1 species
CAUCGUCAUCUGAUGUUUCACUGCUACUGGUUUCGGUGUCUGAGUCCUCAAACUCUGCUUUGCAAGUGCUUCUCCAAGGGGAGAACAGACUGGAACUGCGGCUCGAGUGUGAGAGAACCUCCCCUUCUUCCACUACAGGGAGGGCAAGACCAUUUUGAUGACAGCCUUCCUCCCCAUUUUCCUUUGGUUCAGGUGUGCUGUUGUCCUCCAACUGCAAUAAGGAAAA